rnacentral:SRP_RNA from 1 species
GGUCAGGCGGCGCCGCGGCGGGGCCCUGCGAACCGGGUCAGGUCCUGGCGGAAGCAGCCCUAAGCAGACCGUCCCGGGUGCGGUGUCCGCCUGGCCAGA